rnacentral:rRNA from 1 species
UAGGGAAUCUUCCACAAUGGACGAAAGUCUGAUGGAGCAACGCCGCGUGAGUGAAGAAGGCUUUCGGAUCGUAAAGCUCUGUUGUUGGUGAAGAAGGAUAGAGGCAGUAACUGGUCUUUAUUUGACGGUAAUCAACCAGAAAGUCACGGCUAACUACGUGCCAGCAGCCGCGGUAAUACGUAGGUGGCAAGCGUUGUCCGGAUUUAUUGGGCGUAAAGCGAGCGCAGGCGGAAUGAUAAGUCUGAUGUGAAAGCCCACGGCUCAACCGUGGAACUGCAUCGGAAACUGUCAUUCUUGAGUGCAGAAGAGGAGAGUGGAACUCCAUGUGUAGCGGUGGAAUGCGUAGAUAUAUGGAAGAACACCAGUGGCGAAGGCGGCUCUCUGGUCUGCAACUGACGCUGAGGCUCGAAAGCAUGGGUAGCGAACAGGAUUAGAUACCCUGGUAGUCCAUGCCGUAAACGAUGAGCGCUAGGUGUUGGGGACUUUCCGGUCCUCAGUGCCGCAGCAAACGCAUUAAGCGCUCC